rnacentral:lncRNA from 1 species
CAGGCCACAGCUGUCGCUGGCAUCUCAGUCUCACACAGAGGACAAUGCCCUGUGAAGGAAGAUCGCUGCAGAGGCUGGGGAUGUCGCUGUGUGAAGCCCUCUUCCACUUCUGAGGACCCAGCACAAACCAAACGGACAAGACCAUUUGAACUCGGAGCAUCUGCCCUUAAGAGUUGAGUGUCCACAGCCUGGAGUGGGAAGUGGGGUCAGGAAGGCCAGACAGUAAUCUCAGUCUCUCUGUACCCCCGCCCCCACGAUGUGUGUCUGCCUGUCUGUCCGUCCUCUCGUGCCUGGAUCUGCGCAGGCCACCCGCAGUCACAGCACACAGUCUAGCCUGCGCUGGGUGUAAGAGCUGACCUGACUGAACACAGCUGAGCUGAGGAGCCUUCCAGAAUGUUCAAGGAGGAGAUACGUUAUCCUUGGUGACAGUAGCCAUCAGCCACACUCUAGAAUGGCAGCGACUUCUACAGAGACAUGGACUCCAUCACCCGGCACGCAAGGCAGACUGGUCAUGGGUUUGUAGUCUCUGCUGAGGAAUUUCAAACCCAGCCAUGUAGGCCCGGGACAAGGGGCCUCGCUCCUGGCAGCUGAGCCACACACAGUCAUUCUGCAGUUGGCAUGAGAAAGGCACCUGCAGAGAAGAUGAAUUCAAACCCUCCCCACCCUGGGCACAGUGGUCCAGUCUUGGAUGGAUGCUGGAACCAUCGGAUCCUGUAACCCGCUUCUCCACCUCCAGUACAGACGUCAGGACUUGAGGCUCCCUCCGUCUGCUCUCUUCUGCACUGCACUUGAAUUUCCCUGAGGUUUGGCAUUUGGGGUUUUUGUUUGGCUUGUUUCUUUGCUUGCCUAGAGGAAUAAUCAAUGCUUAGGCUUUUAAUAGCAAAGGCAUUUAGUGGGUCAACCAAGCACUCAGGAGAUAGACAGGAGGGUCAGAAUUCAAGGUCAUCCUUUGCUACACAAUGAGUUCAGGGUCAGCCUGGGCUACACGAGAUCCAAUCUAAAAUAAACAAAAAAUAAAAUAAUUGAUAUUUCUUCUCUGUAUAUUAUAGUUAUACUGUAGACUGUUGGGGAUACAUUCUCCAAGAGUCUCAAAGUUCAUCUCCACUGAGUUAAUUAAUGUUGUUACUAUAACACAACACUAGAGUCUGGUUCGUUUACAAAUACAAAAGAUUUAUUUUGGGCUGGAGAGAUGGCUCAGAGCUGACUGCUCUUCCAAAGGUCCUGAGUUCCAAUCCCAGCAACCACAUGGUGGCUCGAAACCAUCUGUAAUGGGAUCUGAUGCCUUCUUCUAGUGUGUCUGAAGACAGCUAUGGUGUACUCACAUACAUAAAAUAAAUAAAUAAAUCUUAAGAGAGAGAUUUGUUUCUACAAAGGCUAGAUGCUACUGAGAGUAAAGGGUUUAGAACUCCGUUUUCCUCUUCUUACUAACUCACUAAUCCCAUCUUGGGGGGGGGAGGGGGAAGCUUCAUGACUUCACCUAACCUCGUUCACCUCUCCUAGACCUUACCUCCUAUCGCUACCAAUCUCUGAUUUGGGGAUCAAAUUUUCAACCCAGGAGCUUUAGGGAGACAAAUGUAAACCCCAGUAUCCCCUGACUCCCGGUGUACACUGGAUCCUGCACACAGUAGGGCUCCAAUAAAUACUGAAAGUCCUUAGAAUGGGGGCAAAAUCAUUUUUGUGUUUAUAAAUAUGACCCACAUGUUCUCUCAUCUUUUAAAAUUGUCAGAGUAAUUUCUCUCUCUCUCUCUCUCUCUCUCUCUGUGUGUGUGUGUGUGUCUGUGUCUGUGUGUGUGUCUGUGUCUGUGUCUGUGUGUCUGUGUGUGUGUACUCACAUCCAAGUGGGUUUGGGUACCUGUCAUGUGGACAUGUAUAUGUUGGUAGAAGCCAGAAGUCAACCUUGUGUGUCAUUUCUCAGAGGUGAUCCAUCUUAUUUUUUGAGACAGGGUCUCUCACUGAGGCCGGGGACUUACUGUUUUUAGGUUACACCUGCUGGCCAGCAAGCCAGAGAGACCGAGAGAGACGGUCUGUCUCCAUCUCUCCAGCGACAGGCUUUCAGACCCACACCACCAUGCCCAGCUUUGAUGUGGGUCUGGGUUUUGAGGAGUAGAAUUCAGGACCUCUUGCUGAGCCAUCUCCCCAGCCACUGAACAUAAUUCAUAUAUAAUCUGGCUUUUGUUCCUUUUGUGGGUGCAGGGUGUGUUUUGUUUUGUUCUUUGCUGUGUAUUAUUCUGUGCAUUUAAGCUUUAUUUUUUUGUGACUACCUGGGAGGGACACUGAACAGCCAGAAAGGCCAGGCCGAGGCUUCACUGAUGGGGAUGUGAGCCCGGGAAUGCUGGCAGCUGCCGGGAGCUGGAAAGGGCAAAGGAAAGGACUGUCUCCGCAUCCACGGUGGACGCAGCCCUCUGCCCGAUUUCUAUUUCUGGCCACCAGCUCUGCCAGGUAGCGAGCUUGGCUGCUCUGAGCUGCCUGGGUUUGCCGUUGUAUUUUCCUACUAGCAUGGGAAAGCGUGAUCAGCUUGCUUUGUUCUCAAUUGUUCCAGAAGCUCUGCCGGUCCCCUCCAGGACUCCUGAGUCUCUGCUCCGUGGUACUCGGGGCUGGCUCUCAAAGUUCUAGGCUGCAGAAAUCUCACAAGCGCAUGAGCUUAGAGUCCCAGGGUGGAUGUCCACCAAGAGCCCAGGGACAAAGCAUUGACAGCUCCUGUGUGCGCCACGUCUCCCCCCACCCCCACCCCUACCCCCAGGAACUGUGAGAGGAGUGCAGAGCCCCUCCCCCAGGCCUUUCCAACAAGGACUCCUGGAGGACCCUUGGGUUUUUAACACCAAAUCACCAAAUGUUUCCCACGCAGCAACACAAACCAGCUCUUCCUCAUACAGCACGGUGGGCCAGUGGACCAUGGGGACAGGUUACCUCUGUGGGCCCAGGCUCACGGUAAACUCUAACCUCAAUCUGUAGCCUCCCACAGCCAUUUGCGGGUCACCUUGCUUCUCAGCCACCGUGUGGCACUUGGCAAGUCACGUGUGCCUCAACACAAUAAGAAGCCAAGGGAAUAGGGGCUUUGCUUAACUGGUACAGCAGUGUAGCCCAAGCUAGCCUUGAACUCACUAUGUAGCCAAGGACGAUCAUAAACUCUUGAUCCUCCCGCUUCAGAGUCCUGGGUGUUGAGAUAACAGGUGUGGGUCACUCCCUACCCUUCUUCUAAUAGCAAUCAAUGUGUGGCCACAUGUUUGUGCCUCACAGAUUAAAACCAUCUUGACCUGAGGACGAAAUGACUAACAGUUGCCUCCUGAAGGUUGCCUGGAUCUCAUCUUUAUAAUCCCAGCAAUCAAGGGGAGUGGGGGAUCAGGAGUUCAAAGUCAGCCCAGCCUGGGCUACAUGAGACCCUGUCUUGAAAAAUGGAGGAAUUAAGCUGGGCGUGGUGCCGCACUCCUUUAAUCCCAGCACU